AUCGUGGUGGCUGCGCUUGCGAGCACCCUGAGGUAGAUUGGGUGGUUUCAGCAGGAACGCAUCCACUGUCUGAGAGGUGGCAAUUGAAGCCGGAAGAACAUCUACCAAGAGCAGAGAACCCAGGAAGAAAAUUCUGCCUCUUUAAUACGUCCCAAUUUGGACGUUUUCCAUAUAGAUACCUAUCUAUAUAGAUAGAUGCUCUGGGAUCUGACGGUCCUGGACACCUGUAUGGCUGUGUGCUGUGGUCUUUGCCUAGCCUGCGGUUCACUUUUGCUCUGGCCACCACCUCCCCUCAUGUACAAACCGCGUCUCUGCUCUGCCAGUCUUGGCCCCCGUCAGGCAGCGGUUCACUCCCUCACCAGGGAAGUCUAGAUAGAUAGAUAUAGAUAGAUAUCGAUCGAUAGAUAUAGAUAUAGAUAGAUACAGAUAGGUAGAUAUAUGGAUAGAUAUAGAUAUUUGGAUAGAUAUGUAGACGUCUAUCUAUAAAUAUAUCGAUAUAUCGGGGUUCUCAGCCAUCCCAAAGAAGCUUGCACAGGGCCAGUUGCUUUAUGUCAGGAAAAGGGACACAGACUGAGUGUAUGAGGGUUUUUUUUUUUUCUAUAGAUGUAUAGAUAUUUAUAUCAGAUGCAAAUAAGUGAAACUCUCAUACACCUUUUAAUUUUGUGUUUUUUCCAAACUAUUCCAUUCAACUUUUUCUGCCUUUUUAUUUGAUUAUAAUGAGACAUCGUACUGGAGGCAGGCUUGAAAUGGAUAUACAGAGCACUUUCAACCCAGAAAUUUGUCUCACGACUUGGGGUCCUUACUUAAGUUGUAGCUGUUAGUAAUUUCAUCCAUGAAUUCACUUUGUGCCAUAGUGUGAUGUUUUGUUAUGAAGUUGGAAUUGGGAAGGGAAACUAGGAAGUUUUGGGAGAAGUUAAGAAGGUUGAGUAGGCAGGCGUUGUUAUAGAUAUUAAAUUUCACCCUGCUUAUCAAAGUACCUGGAGGGUAUGGUAUCCAAGCUGUAAAUGGCCCAAAGGAAUCGGGGUUCUCAGCCAU
rnacentral:antisense_RNA from 1 species